rnacentral:misc_RNA from 1 species
GCCUCUUCAUUUGUGUGCAAGGCACGUUGUUUCGUCCUUGUGCAAUUGUCGGGCUUCCUUGUGUUGGCUUCCUACUUGAUGGUAUUGAGUUGCGAUAUUGAAGUACCUUUUGUCGUGUGUCGCUCAGGUGGCAUGCGGCAAACCAUAAAGUGGCCUCUUUGAUCCAUCUCGUCGAUGCUUGUGUGUCGAUGGCAUGGCUCAUUGGACGUCGCUCGAGCUCUUGGAUAUGGAACCUUGUUUGGGCAUGGGGUCUUUAUCGAUCCUGUGUGUGCCCUUGUCAAGCGUUCUUGCUUUUCUGAACGAUCGUUGGUUGCGUGUUGACUUGCUCAUGCGUGCCCGAUGUCGUCGAAAAUGAAUGCUACCUGGUUGAUCCUGCCAGUAGUCAAUGCCUUGUCU